rnacentral:rRNA from 1 species
CCUACGGGUGGCAGCAGUGAGGAAUAUUGGUCAAUGGACGCGAGUCUGAACCAGCCAAGUCGCGUGAAGGAUGACUGCCCUAUGGGUUGUAAACUUCUUUUAUAAGGGAAUAAAGUGUUCCACGUGUGGGUUUUUGUAUGUACCAUAUGAAUAAGGAUCGGCUAACUCCGUGCCAGCAGCCGCGGUAAUACGGAGGAUCCGAGCGUUAUCCGGAUUUAUUGGGUUUAAAGGGAGCGUAGGUGGAUUGUUAAGUCAGUUGUGAACGUUUGCGGCUCAACCGUAACAUUGCAGUUGAGACUGGCAGUCUUGAGUACAGUAGAGGUGGGCGGAAUUCGUGGUGUAGCGGUGAAAUGCUUAGAUAUCACGAAGAACUCCGAUUGCGAAGGCAGCUCACUGGACUGCAACUGACACUGAGGCUCGAAAGUGUGGGUAUCAAACAGGAUUAGAUACCCGUGUAGUC